CCUACGGGGGGCAGCAGUAGGGAAUCUUUCACAAUGGGCGAAAGCCUGAUGGAGCAACGCCGCGUGCAGGAUGAAGGCCUUCGGGUUGUAAACUGCUUUUAUAAGCGAGAAAUAUGAUGGUAACUUAUGAAUAAGGAUCGGCUAACUACGUGCCAGCAGCCGCGGUCAUACGUAGGAUCCGAGCAUUAUCCGGAGUGACUGGGUGUAAAGAGUUGCGUAGGUGGGAUAAUAAGUAGCUAGUGAAAUCUGGUGGCUCAACCAUUCAGACUAUUCGCUAAACUGUUAAGCUCGAGACCGUUAGGGGUAAGUGGAAUUUCUGGUGUAGGAGUGAAAUCCGUAGAUAUUAGAAGGAACACCAAUAGCGUAGGCAGGUUGCUGGGACGGUUCUGACACUAAGGCACGAAAGCGUAGGGAGCAAACAGGAUUAGAUACCCGAGUAGUC
rnacentral:rRNA from 1 species